ensembl:snRNA U6 U6 spliceosomal RNA
AUGCUCACCUCGGCAGCACAUAUACUAAAACCAGAACUAUACAGAGAAGAUUAGCAUAUCCCCUGAGCGAGGAUGACACACAAAUUCGUGAAGCUUUCCAUAUUUUU